rnacentral:rRNA from 1 species
CUACGGGCUGCUGCAGUGAGGAAUAUUGCACAAUGGGGGGAACCCUGAUGCAGCAACGCCGCGUGGAGGAUGACGCAUUUCGGUGUGUAAACUCCUUUUAUAUGUCAAGAAAAUGACGGUAGCAUAUGAAUAAGCACCGGCUAACUCCGUGCCAGCAGCCGCGGUAAUACGGAGGGUGCAGAGCGUUACUCGGAAUCACUGGGCGUAAAGGACGCGUAGGCGGGUUGGAAAGUCAGGUGUGAAAUCCUGCAGCUUAACUGUAGAACUGCACUUGAAACUUCUAAUCUAGAGUAUGGGAGGGGGAGAUGGAAUUAGUGGUGUAGGGGUAAAAUCCGUAGAUAUCACUAGGAAUACCUAAGCGAAGGCGAUCUCCUGGAACAUUACUGACGCUAAGGCGUGAAAGCGUGGGGAGCAAACAGGAUUAGAUACCCCAGUAGUC